UACGGAGGGGACUAGCGUUGUUCGGAAUUACUGGGCGUAAAGCGCACGUAGGCGGAUUGUUAAGUCAGGGGUGAAAUCCCGAGGCUCAACCUCGGAACUGCCUUUGAUACUGGCAAUCUCGAGUCCGGAAGAGGUGAGUGGAAUUCCUAGUGUAGAGGUGAAAUUCGUAGAUAUUCGCAAGAACACCAGUGGCGAAGGCGGCUCACUGGCCCGGUACUGACGCUGAGGUGCGAAAGCGUGGGGAGCAAACAGG
rnacentral:rRNA from 1 species